UACAGAGGGGGCAAGCGUUAUUCGGAAUUAUUGGGCGUAAAGGGCGCGUAGGCGGCCUGGCAAGUGACGGGUGAAAGCCCUCGGCUUAACCGAGGAACUGCCUGUCAGACUGUUAGGCUUGAGACCGGGAGAGUUGAGUGGAAUUCCCAGUGUAGCGGUGAAAUGCGUAGAUAUUGGGAGGAACACCAGUGGCGAAGGCGGCUCACUGGACCGGUACUGACGCUGAGGCGCGAAAGCGUGGGGAGCAAACAGG
rnacentral:rRNA from 1 species